UCAUGUGUGUAUAUAACGCACUUUCUAGGUCCAGCGGGAUACAGAUGGAUAUUGGGGGGGCGGUGUGUUCCACUUUCUGGCUGUUUAGAACACGUUGCCAUUGACACAGUCAUUCCAAGUUCUCUUUGUGCUUCUUUGAGGUUCUUUCAGGCAAUCCCGUAUUCAACCUUGAGGGCUAUCACGCUCUCCUCUACAAUAUUAGGUUCCCGUGGGUGCAGCUUAAGGGCCUGCCAUUUCCAUAGCCUUCUCUACACUCGCUUCUCAUAGUAGCCAUUCGAUCAAGGAAGCCUUCGUUAGCCUUCAGGUUUGUGAAUACCUGCCCCCCUUUUAUCCUGUGUAUAAAAUUCUGGCGGUAAGUUUCCUGACCCUAUUCCCUCCCAAGGAUAAAUUAUCCCAUCUUUCUAAUCAGAUCUAUUAGUUUUGUCAAUAAUCCCACAUACUCAUAAUUGGAGAUUACUCGGGGAUAAAAAUCUGUUACGGUGGUUGUCUUUGUUCCCUUCGAUUAGCAAUGCCUCCUGCUGCAGAAUACUGAAAUCCACCCGACAACUACUAUCUGCAUUAUAGAAAAAGGAAGGCCAAAUAGUUCCUUCUGAUACCAAUUCUGCUAGUAUUUAUGGCGGACGGGCCUCUGUUCGGGGGCUUGCUGGUGAUGGAAACCAUAUAUCUCCCUGUAACUUUUUGCAUUUGGGCCCAUAUCAUGCAGCCUCACGGAGCUUCAUAAAUACGGAGCUUCCUGUCUGUGGGGGUCUCACAAGGGCACGGAUUCUAGGCUCAAAUGAUGAAGCAUUGCCUUUGUGGGGACCGGCAGCAGCAAGACGCUCCUAUUAAAUAAGACAAACAGGUGGCUGGAUGUUUUGUGAUCAUUUUAACAAUUGGGUUCAAGUCCCGUUACCUCUUCUAAAUUAACUGCAAGGAGAUCCAUCACCCGGGCCAAUAACACACCUGGCAGGUUGCACGGCCCUCACCGUCUAGGCCUCUGUGAUCAUGGGUGUGAAUCAUAGCCUUUACGCUGCCUGAGGCACCGGCGUAAGAAAGCACAGCCUAGACCCAGCUGAUUAAGCUGUAGCAUAAAACAACACUUCAGUAGUCAGGCACAUGACAGCCCACCAUAGUUUAUUGGACCAAAGAGUAUAACAUUGUAAUUUACUUCUCUAAUACAUGUCAUGUUUUCUCUUAUUGUUUCCCUUAUGGAGUGAAAUAUGCAGGAAAGAGAUUGCAGUGCGAGCUUCAUGUGUUAUGCCCCUCCAAAAUUAGAGGGUAACAAACUGUCUUUAUUAUCCUGUGCCUUUGGUAAGCUGCCACAAAUCACAGGAGCCACUGCAGGUGAGUAUCUAGUGGCUUCGAAAGUCAAGGCAAACUAAAAGACUCUCGUGUCUCUGCCUGAAGCUAUUUUUUGAACUACAGUUGCAGCAAGACACAAUUACUGCACUUCCUGACCCUUCCUUUUUAUCGUAAGCUCCUAACCAAUUUUUCUCCCCUAUUGACAGGAAAGCAGGAUUUAUAAAGUCUAGCGCGAUGCAAAUAUUUCAAGGCUUAAUUUCCCCCCUCAAAUGCAGGAGCGUAAGUUGCUUAGCGUCUCGGUGAGUUUAUUUUUCUUUCUAAACUGGAAUUCAUGGCUGCUCUCCAGCUGCAAACAGCCCCAGUCACAGAUAAUUUAAAGAGAACAGCUUACUUGUUUGUCAAGCAAACAUGUGUAAUCUGAUGAAAUUAUUAAUGUCAUAGUGUAAACUCUCUUCUCAUAAAUACAGUUAGCAGCGCUGACAUUGCAAUUAGGCUCCAAUGUUCCGGCUCCCUGCUCCUUCGCUCAGUCUGUCAGUCCGGCGCAGGGGAGACAAAUUGUGGUGGGCACUUGACAAUGCGAAAAAGAGAUAUAAACCUCAUCUGAUUAGAUCUCGGUGAAAGAUUAAACGGUUCUGAACGUUUGCCAGAUUCUUAUGAUACGACAUUUUUAACCAGUGGUAAUAAAAAGUCCCGUUCGAGAGAGGGUUUUAAAAAAGAUUAUAGGGGAUCACAUACAUGCGUCUGCAUGAGUGAUAUGUGUCCACACAUGUGAGAGACGCAGCGAGAAAGAACACAGUCUCUUUUCACCUGGGAAUCUCGUUUUAUUGCCUUAUCAUAAUAUUCUUGCCGCGCUCUUUGGAUUUUUGUAGUAAUUUGUGGGAGAGGAGGUGGCACUGACUUGCAUAUUCCCAGGGUGGCUUCUUAUUUAAAAAAAUCCUAGCCCACUAGUAGAGCUGGUGCUCCCGUUGGCCUGUUUACAACAAGCAUGUCUGCUCUCACUGGGUACAAAUGUGUCUCACUGGGUAAAAAUAUUUCCAUGCCUGAUCUAGCAGCUGAUAAGAGUGGGCACACGUGUGUGCUGCAACGUCAUCUUGCUGACUCACUCUAUACCUCGUCCAUGUUAUUUUACAUCCCUUGAAAAUAGACAGAUUGAUUAUAACGGCUAACACCUAUAUCCUACUUCUGAUUGCAUUUCCUAUGUCCGAAGACUGUUCUGGUUGCUCCAUAUUCUUCCCCUCGUUUAAGUCUGCAUACCACACCACUCCUGGUAUGCACCCUCCUUUGUAGAUGAGGACGCCGAGGAAGAGAAAGGGGAGCUUACUUUCUUAAAGCCAAGUAGGUAAUAACAGGUGAACUAAGACACGGUUACAUACAGACAACGACAUGGGCCUAUUGGUUUAAAAGCACAACUAUGGUUACCAUCUUUGACCUAGAGAUUAUGAGUCUUUUAUGUUCUGCAAGGCCUUCUCAAAUUCCCACUCAGCACAGAAUAAAAUAUCCAAACACCAAAUAAUCAUAAACGGAUAUUUUAAGUCCUCAGCAUUAACCAGUAUUAACACCCCAGAGAGACCGAGGCAGCAGGAUCGUCCUGAGUCCAAGGCUAGGCUGGUAUGCAUAGUGAGUAAUGGCUAGCCAAUGCUACAUAGCAAGAUGUUGUCUCAUAGCCUUAAAUCAAGCAACCAACCAAACGAAAGCCAUGGCAUUGCGGUCUGAAGAUUAUGAACACUCGUACUAAGGGAGAGACGAAAUUGGAUGAUUUCUUUAAGUAACAAAGAAACCUCAUGUACUUCAGACCUCUAGCAGCAUAAGCGAUUGCAAGUGCAUUCAUGAAAAGUAAAAGGAAAUACAGAGAGCCCAGAAGAGGCGAGCCCUCUCUACCUAAGCCUUGUUGACUUAUAGAAGAAUGACAAUAAUAAGGUAAGACACUUUCUAUACCCGCUUAUGGCUAAAACCUCCUUGAAAAUGCAGAAGCAACCUACAGGGGUGGUUCUAACCCCUUUGUUCUCUUUACAUUUGGUUACUAAAAUGUGUCCUCGCAUCUUCCUCCUCCAUUGUAUGAUACUUGUGUGGGGAAUGACCCUUGUAGGAGGAGGGUGUUUAAAGCAGUCAGUAGAAGAAGCCGGUCGGUCCUACAGGGAGCCAGCAGAGGGCUGAGUGAAUGCCUAAGAGUGAGAACCAUGCUUUUAGUCGUGCUAAACAGCGCUUCCCCGCUCUGAAAGUUCAUUAUAUUUGUCAUCAGACUAAUUAUUCUGCACUUGUUGCUAAGUCUGUUGCUUGCUUUCUCGUGAGCAGUCACUCCGCUCUCCUUUAAUCUCCGUCUUCUAACGUGCGAUACGCGCUAUAAAAUUUCUUUCCUUGUAUGGGAAUUCUAAGGUCUCUUUCCCCCCUCAACAGCUUGAAUUCCUGUAUUCUGAUUAAGAUAGAUGAAGUAUUUGCAUUCUAUCCAUAUUCAUAAUCCUCUUUCAGAGUCAACCUAAAAUACCACAUUUGUUGCCCAGGCAGAGACAGGCAACGUGCUACUGAGCUAUGCAGGGUUUUGUUUCAAAGGAUAAGGAUCCAUUGCUUUCAAAUCCCACAGAAGAGUGGCCACUAGGUGAAUUCAGGCUGUUAAAAAAAAAAAGCCCAGGACAAUCAUAGUGCCUUUUAUAUGUGGCAGAAACAAUAAUUAAUGAUCCCCCUUUUUAUGCUACAGAAAAAGACGGCAAUGCAUUUGACAGACAUGUUAUUAAUAGUUUCUGCCAACUUGCCAUGCAUAAAGGGUUUAUUGGUUAUAACACCAGUGUAUGAAGACAUUCUUUUCCUUGAAAUGUUCAAGAUGGUUGUUUUAUGGAUGAAAAAUGAAUGCAAUCUGUCUACCGCCACUCAAAGUUUGGGUUUCAAUAAUAAAAUUAAAACGAGUGUGACAUUUCCUAUUGUGGUAUUUAACCAUCUGCUUCCUGCUGGUCCUCGCGAUAAUGGCCUUACCUAGGUAGUCUCUAUUUAACAAGAAGACCCACUGAUAUUGUGUCUCAUGGUUAUUUUAUAAAGAAGAUUUAUUAUUGAUAGAGGGACUUGCAUAUUGGCCAUUGUUCCUCUGAUAAAAGUGAAUCCUUUCAUCUUGUCAAGCAGAGGAAUCUUCUGCUUGACAAACAAGAAUGGACGCUUGGAGCCUCGUAAGGACUAGGAAUUUAGAAAGUAUACACAGGGGGAGUGUACGUCAGUGACACGUUCUUGCCAAGUGGGAUGUAUAUGACUUUAGGCAAGCACCUAUUAUUUUGCUGCCCUAUAUUAAUUAAAAAAGAUCGGCUUCUAAAUGCUUUCUCAGUCUCUGGAAGUUAAAUCUUGAGGCGUUAUUUACUUUCAUUUUGAAACUGCUUCAUGAAUGUUCUUCUUUAGGAUGGGUCUGCCACAGCAAUGAUUUCUGUCUAUCAAUUAAUCAGGAGAAACGGACAGCCCUUUACCACAUGGAUUCACAAUAAAGCAAUGGAGACACUGCCCAGAAGCUAUCUUAAUCCUCCUUUAUGGAUGGCUGGGAAGAGGAAUAAUCAAUAUUUUAGCAAGUCUUUGGAUUUUGUGUCAGACAACCUGGAACGUAGACACACAAAGCCUUAGACUCAGAAGUCUUCUCGCUAUUGACAAGCUCGCACCCUUAUUGGACAUAUACUAGUGAUAUCCACAUGAUUACUGAUUUUCUCGGAAUCUUUCAUCCUCUGCCGGUAAAUCAGUGAGGAGGGAGAAGAGUUUCCUCUCCACUAUGCGUACUUCAACAUCCAUCCGCUCCCUCCUCCAUCAUAGUUGUUUCCUCGCUGGUGACAUGACAUGAAAUAUGGCUGCAGGUGAUCUUUCAAGUCUUCUUUACCAAUAAAAUGAUGACUGUGUUACUUCUAUAAAACAGAUUAGAGGUGAGGGUAAAGCUGUUUUAUGGUGUGGCUUUUGUGAUCCUGUCCUGGGAAAAGCUACUUUAAAAAAACAAAACCUGUCCGUCUUCAUAGAAGGGACGGAGAGACUCCCAUUGAGGCUUUAAUCACACAUAGGCAGGGAGACUGCAUACUCAAAGCAGCCUAGCACCUAGGAACUCGACAUGGGAAGAUUUUGAGUUCCAGGUCAGCCUGAGCAACAGAGUGAUAUCCAGUCUCUUAAACCAAAGUGAAAAUACAAAAAAAGAAAGAAAGAAAGAAAGGAAGGAAGGAAGGAAGGAAGGAAGGAAGGAAGGAAGAAGGAAGCAAAAUAACCAACUGACAAAUCGAAAAGAUGUAUUAUAUCAGAUUCCAGAGGGGAGACUCUAUUUCUUCCUCAAUUUAGGGUAAAAGAGAGGGCUAAGGAUUCUUCUGUUGAUUGACUGAAGCCGGUCUGCCCCUUCCGAGACUGAAAGUCUUUGACAAUCUGACACGGCCAGCGAGAGGUAGCCAACUUGAUAUGUAGGCUUGACUCCUAGGUGCGAGAGUUUGCAAAGCUGGGUGCCUUUAGCUCACCGAACAUUAUCAAAACAUGGAAGAAACACGCUUGGGGAGGCUAACUCUGGUGUUCUGAUACGGCAAAGACGCUGCUGCUAUCCAAAUGACUUCUGGAAGCAUCCGUCUCCUUCUACACCCCCAGUAACUGCUUCCAUUGUGAUUUUCCAUCCUGACACUCGGACUACGAACAUCCUCACAGCUCCCACGUUUUGAGCAGAGACUUCUCAUGAAGGAAGAGGUAAGAUUUUUGGCAAAGUGGAGAAUCUGGACAGCAGACUUUCCUUUGUGUUUGCAUGUGCAAAGGGGCACAGGUGUGCAUACGUACCUGGAGACCAUAGGAUAACUUUGGUGGUCAUUUUCUGGUUGCUUCCAACCUUCUCUUUUGAGGUAGGUUCUCUCAAUGCCCUGCACUUACUAAGUAGGCCACACUGACUGGCCAGUGCUCUACAGCUCUCUGCCUGUCUCUACCUUUCCUGCUAGGAUUGUGAGCUCUUGACACUAAGCUUGGCUUUCCAAUGUGAAUCCUGGGGAUAGAACCCAAGCCUUUGGGUUUGCAUGGCAAGCACUUGAUUUGACUGAGCAAUCACCCAGCCCCUGACUAAUACUGCUGUGCACGGCCCUCUCUUCCUCAUCCCUUCUCCAUAGAAAUCUUUCUCUGGGCAUUUUCUCUGGCAGCCAUUACUGAUUUGUGUUCUGAUUUCUUGUUGAUAACUCUAGUUUGUUACACACAGAAUGACAAAACCAAAGACUUAAAUAGAAAUGACUUCACUGACAUGUCUCAGCUGACCAAAGACAAACUCACCCCCCCCCAAAUAAUCCCCACUCCCUUCCUUCCCCGUAUCCCAACAAAGAGAAGAAACACAUAGCCUCUUUGUCUUUUUUGAUGUAUUAUACAAACAGAACCCUUUGGAGAAGCUGUUCUAAAAAUAGGUAAGCACAAACAGGGCUUAAUAUUUCAUGAGCUAAAAUUUCAAGGGCUUGGAAUUAAAGAUAGCCAGAGAUGUAUGGAAAGAAAUAUUUACUGCUACUGGAGACCGAUGCUUGUAAGUAAACGCCAUUUUCCUGAGAAUGUGUCUCUACACUGCUGGGACACACUGGUGACUGGGUGGGGCAUGGUAACUAAUGAUGUCUCUACUAGACCUUCUUGGGAAGAUACUUCACGGCUGACUCUUGGUGUGUUUAACUGUUUCUGAAACUUUCUUCCAAAUUUCCUAGAGGCUUGAUGACCCUGUCUCUUGUAAAUUAUUUUUCUAGCUGAAUAACCUAUUAAUGGGACUGUGUUCUUGGAGAUCACAGAAUUUUUUGAUAAAGUUUCAAUAAAAUUUGCAGGCAUUGUUUAUUGCAUUCAUAUCAUGCAUGACUUUAUUACUAGACCAACCAACACCACAGGCUUGACAUCAGCAGGGUUCACUGGCUCUAUACUUUUUUACUCCCAGAGUAAUCGCCUUUCCUCUUCUGACUCCAGACUGGAAGAGAAAACUAGAUUAAGGAAACGCAUCCAUGUCUGUGUAAGCUAAUUUAGAAUUGACGUCAGCAGAGCCCUCUGUAUCGGGGGCUUGGAAUAGCCUCUGGUCCAUGAUACCAAAUGCCACACGUGCUUCUAAAACUUAUUUCUCAACCCAAAAUAUCGAGCUCCUUAUCCAAUUUUGAGGAUGAUUCUAUUCAUUCAAAAUCAGUUUUUCCCCAGUUUAGAAAUGAAGCAUUCUUAAGUUUAAAUUUCACACAGUGAUCAUUUUCAACCAGACUUUAGUAAGGCUAGGCCCAAGUAUAAUACCUCUCAUUUAGAAAGUACUUUCUUUCCUGAGCAGUAGCCUAAGUAUUUUGUUUUAUUGCAUUUUCAUUUCCCGUGUCACUUCCCUCAAUAUGCUGUCAUUAGCAGACUAAAGUCUUCUGCCUGCAACCAAAGUUCAAGCAUAAAAUGUACACAGAACUACUUGAAAAUUGCUAUUUAAAAGUGAGUAGAAUGGAAUGUGUGCUUUACUUCUUUGGUCAUUUUGCAAAGAUAUUUACAUAAGAGCCUCAUUUAUGUGUGUCCCUUUCUUUUCUGAAUUUUUUUUUUUUUGUAAUUCAAACCAUACACACAAAGUGAUGAAUGUCUUAUAAUGAAAAUAUUGGAUUGUGAAAAUAUAAAUGAACAGGACACUGUUGGGGUUUCUACAUAGAGAAAUUAGCAUAAUGGGGGGGUCAAGGAAUGCUACAGAAAUCACACAGUACAACAGAUCUCACGCAAGAGUUUGGAGGAAGGGGAGAAAGCAGGAGGGGAGAUGGAAAAGGGCACACACAGAGAUAAAGGGGGGCAGAGGGACAGAGAUAGGGGUACAGAGAGACACACACACACAGAGCCAGAGAGCCAGAAAGAAGAACAGAAAGAAAGAGACAGAGAGAGACAUAGAGGGCUACAGAGAGACACAGAGAGACAGAGAUAGAGAGAGACAGAGAGGAGACAGAGAAAGACAGAGACAGAGAGAGACAGAGAGGAGACAGAGUCAGAGAGACAUAGAUGGGGACAGAGAGACAGAGGGGGACAGAGACAAAGAGAGACAGAGGAGAUAGAGAGAAAGAGACAGAGAGGAGACAGAGACAGAGAGACAUAGAUGGGGACAGAGAGACAGAGACAGGGAGACAGAGGAGGACACAGAGAGAGAGACACAUAGAUUCUGGACAGAGAGACAGAGACAGAGAGGGGGGGACAGAGAGAGAGAGAGACAUAGAUGGGGACAGAGAGACAGAGACAGAGAGAGACAGAGGAGGACAGAGAGAGAGAGAGACAGACACAGAGCAGGAGGCGACAGUAGGGACUUUUAAGGGCAGGCAUGCACUCAUGCUGUCUUUGGCAGCUGAUGAGGAUGUGUCUUAGGUGAGAGCACAGGUGAAGGUGAGGCGGGCACCCUAGUUCCUAACAGAUUCUACUACUGGACACUUAGCGGCUAACACUUCCUCCAAGAAAGCGACAGCAACAAAACAUUGGUAACAGAUGCAGAUAUGUGUUUUUAAAUCAAGGAGAAAUUUCUUUCCUUUCUUGUAAAAUGCCAGAGGUAAGGGACCAGUGUGUGAUGUCAGCCCAGAUCACAGGGUACGACUAGCUUCUGUAUCCCUGUUACUUCGACCAACCCUAACAGAAGUAGACGGUGGCGAAACGUAUUAUUCUGCGAGCAUAGACUAAAUUUAGGGUUCUGUUUCAAUGGAGGAAUGAAGAUUGAGAAAUAAAGUACCUGAAAUGGUAAACCUUUUACUUUCCAAACCUAGAUUAAAUUUUCUUUCUUUCUUCCCUUCCCUUCUUUCCCUCCCCCCCCCUCCCUUCUCAGAUCUGUCAGGUCUCUGCCACCUUACUUUCUAACAUGGUUUACUUACUUUCUCGUCCCUUUUAAGGGGUGUGUGUGUGUGUGUGUGUGUGUGUGUGUGUGUGUGUACACUGUAGUUGUCCUCAGACAUACCAGAAGAGGGCAUCGGAUCCCAUUACAGAUGGUUGUGAGCCACCAUGUGGUUGCUGGGAAUUGAACUCAGUACCUCUGGAAGAGCAGUCAGUGCCCUUAACCGCUGAGCCAUCUCUCCAGCCCACCUCCCAUCUAUAUUUUUUUCAGUAUUCUUAGCAUUUCUUUCUUAGUAUAAACAGUAGCUUCUACUCAUCUCCAUGUUCACAAACACAUCCCAUCUGGUUUAUCAUUCCUGGUUAAAGAUACAUAUGCAAGGUCAUCAGAAGGCUGCAGUAUGGCUGCUUUUGUUUUGUCACCUCUUAUAGAAAAUUCCAAAGACAUGCCUAGCAAGCUUUAGAAAACCAUGGAAUUGACUAUCCCCUUGUGUGUGUAUCCAUGUUCACACACAUGCUAUCUUUGUCUGCCAUAUCACAUGGAGAAAACAUUUAUUUUCUUUGCCUUGUAGAGGUCCUACUCAGGGACAGGGCACUGAAUCCCCCGUAGAGGAAUUUGGCAGUAUGUAGAGGCAUAUUUGUUUGACUUACCCAGGGGAGUAAUGCCAGCCUGAGCAGGUAGGAGCUGAGGUAUUGCCAAACACCUUGAGCACGGGGAUCACAUCACUGUGUUAGAGUUAUGUGGCCAAAAUAUCAACCUUAACCAAGAACAUCGAAGACCUGUCUUUGAAAUAGUUAUUUAUCUGUUGCAUUGUUCAGGGACAGAUUUUUGCUGUCUUCACGAGUAGACAGCAAAGAACAUUCUGGUACAUGUUUCUAGCUUGUAUGUGCAGUCACUUCCUGGUAGACAGGAUGAAAAUGGAGGCACAUUCUACUUCCCCCAAACCACAUGCAUGUCUUUUAAAAUUAUUGUGCUGGGCCAGUGAGAUGGCUCAGCAGGUAAAGGUGCUUGUGGUACAAGCCCGGUGACUUCACUUAGUCUCUGGAACCCACAUAGAGAUAGAAGCUGGGAACAGAUUCCACGGGGUUGAUGUCCAAUCUCUAUAUGGCUCCUUAUAUACGUGCAUACUUAUAUUACUGACGUGCCUACAAGUCACUUCUCCAUCUUCUCAGAAACUUGAACUUGUUGUAAAAAUUUUCAAAUCCUUCCUCAAUUAUUGGUGGCAUCCAAUUUUAAGUUUAAUUUGUAGCUUCUUGAUGACUGGGGAAGGUGUGACCAUUCCUCAUGCCUAUGAUUCUUUGAGAACGUUUGGGUGCUUUUGGGGACAUUUCUUCCAUUUGCACAGGCCCUUUCCUUUCCUUCUAAUACAUUUUUUAUAUGGAUAAAGGGUCUUGAAUAACGUAGAAAAUAGAUAUAGGAUAUAAGCUGUCCCCACAGCAUUGGUUUUUCCAAUGUUCCUUGUGCCUUGAUGGCCAUCUUUAUCUUUUCAGAUGCUCUCUCUCUCUCUCUCUCUCUCUCUCUCUCUCUCUCUCUCUCUCUCUCUCUCUUAAUUGGUUACAUUUGUCCUUGGACAUUUUCAGACUUCAGGUGACCCAAGUCCCUAGCCACCAUGAAUUUAUUUCAUUUGUAGGGCUGGAACAUUCCCCGCCAUUUGGUAUAGUCUGUGGAAAUCAUCACGACUCUCGCCCUCUUGAGGAAACGUUUGGUAUACAGUAAUUUGGUCAACUGUGCUCUCUUUUAGAAAUUUUUUUUUUGGUUCUUUUUUUCGGAGCUGGGGACUGAACCCAGGGCCUUGCACUUCCUAGGCAAGCGCUCUACCACUGAGCUAAAUCCCCAUCUCCAUUAGAAUUUUGAAUACACUGGCCAUUGAUAUUUGGUGGCAUGAUUAUUUUGAGGAUUCCGGGGCAUGUGAUCAAUCUCUUGAUCCUGCUUCUUUCAAGGCUCCCUCAUUGUCUAUUGAAAGCUGAUUGAGGUAUGCCUUGCUAGGACUCUAGAGUUCUUCUCAGUUGAGAUUUUUGGGUGUUUAUAGUCGUGUGUCAUCAAAUUUGAGCGGUUUCACACUUUUCCUCCCUUCAUAGUUCUUUCACAGUAUUUCUUUGACACUUCGAUUUUUGGAUCUGCACCGUGUUGUUUAUUUUGGUCCACUCAAGGGACUUCUACAAGUGUCCUGGGUUCUGAUGAUUCCCCUACCUUACAAAACCCUGUUUGUUUGUUUGUUUGUUUGUUUGUUUUUCAAAGUUUCUCUGUUUAGCUCUGGCUGUCCCAGAACUGGUUCUGUAGACCUGACUGGCUUCAAAUCAGGCUUCUGCCUUCCUAGGGCUGGGAAAAAGUUGUACAAACCCACCAUCCCAGCUAGAGGCAUUUUUAAAAUCUGUUUGUCAAUAAUUUCUAUUUUCCUUUCUUUAAGAUUAUUCAUUCUUUUCUUCCCCUGAAAAAAAUCCACUUUUGAAACUCUCUAGUGAUUUUUUUUUAACAUUUUGGUCAUUACACUUUAUCAUGUCUGCUCCUUCUCCCCUUCCCCCAUAUCUAUCUCCUCUCUUCUCCCACUGUCUCCUUCCUGUCCCCAGUUUUUCUCUUUCUCCAUCGUCAUCUCUUCAUCCCAUCCCUAGCUACCUUUCUCCUCCUUUCCCCUCAUCCUUUCUCAUCCUCUUUUAGGUUUUCUCCCUCUUAGCUGAAUUUGUAUUUUCUUCGUAAGCGAGUAGUCCCUCAUCUUAAGGCAGCAGUUUCCUUGUUUAGUGAGUAAAUUUGCUAUUAGGGUUUUACAAUAGUGCUUCUGCUUUUCACUUUUGAGAUGGACCAGAGUUUCGUGUGUGUGUGUGUGUGUGUGUGUGUGUGUGUGUGUGUGUGUGUGUGCGUGCACUCGCGCGCGUGCAUUUUCUUCUUGAAAAGCGAGCUUUGAGAGCAACCAAUCUAUUCAUUCUGAAAACCACAUUUCCCUCUUUCUCUGGAGUUUGUUGCCAUUUGCUAAUGAUUUUGCUUGUAGCAUUUGUUUGAUUUCUUUUACUGUUGUUGCCUGUCUCUCUGGCAAAAAUCAGCCAGAAGUAUAAAUUUAACACAUUUCCAGGUAUUUUCUGAAACUUCUCUGGGAAUGUAUAGUCUCUUUCUAAUUUUUCUUACAUUUACAGACUUCUGUGUCCUAGUUUUUAAUGUCUGGCUCCCGAAAAUGGGGUGGGGAGAGAGAGAGAGAGAGAGAGAGAGAGAGAGAGAGAGAGAGAGAGAGAGAGAGAGAAUACAAGGAGUGCUGGCCCUUUAAAUCUCUUAGAAGCACCUUACUUGUCUGUUUAGUCAGAGGGGGAGUACAGCAGCCUUCAGUACCUACCUCCACUGCUUUGAUUUCUGGGAUCAGUGUGCAAAUCCCUGAGGGCAGAGUGCAAUAGACUUCCUUACUAAGCUAGAUUACUGAAUCGAAUAUAUCACUCUAUGUGCCUAAGAGACUCUCAGUCUCUUAGUGUUUGUGAGGAAAAUCUCCUUUGGGUCAUGAGGCAUGUGCGCAGUGGUUUCUGCACUGUCCUUUAGUUCCUCCGUUUCCCACCUGGAUGAGUAUUCAGAUACCCCUCAUGUCACAUCCAAGAUGGAAAUUGUCUGCACCAAAAGUGCCAUCAAAUGCACUUCCGUACAUCUCAGGAACGUCUGCUGCUUUCUAAGCCACUCUUAGCUGCUUUAUGAGGUUUUUAACCUCAAGUGUGAUUUGCUCUUUGGUAUUGUUUUGUUUUGAUUUCUUACCUCCUUUGGCCUGUGUAUUGCUUCUAGGUUGUGGCCUUAUCAUCCCUUUGUAAAGUUCUAACACCUUAGCACCAACAUACCCUGCUGGCGAAUUAGAGGCGAAAGAACUCGCCUGUUUGAAGCUGGGCCUCGUGGUGCAGGCGUGUAAUCACAGCGCGAGAGGGAGCUGAGGCAGAGGACUGCCACCGAUUUCGGGUUAAUUCGGGCCACAGAGGAAGUUUCAGGCCAACUGGGGGAUGCUUAACAAGAUCCCGCCUUAGAAAAUAAAAGCUACAAAACAACGCGAACAUUUAGAGAUGCGCCGAACACGUGAUAGAUUCUUUAAGUCGUACGUGUGAGGAGCAAAUCUCCAGGGACCACGCAUGACAAAGAAGGACCUGGUGGCAAAGUCUGUGAAUUUGGACACAAGGGACAGUUUCGGAAACCAUACAUGUAAUUCUGGGAGAAAAGGCAAUGCGUAUUUCAGUACCCAUUUCAGAGAAUCCCAGUUGCCGCAUAGCACUGUCCAUAGUAUCUGAGCUUUUUCUAAAUGCAGACUAGUCUCUGCAUGAGCCUAUAAAUCAUCGCACUCAGCCUUUUGAAGCUCAGCAUGGGCACAAUAUUUUCCUCCAAAUUAGUUAAUACUUAGGGCAAAGACGCCAAUAACAGGCAAUUCUCCGUUGGGUCGACUUUAGAGACGGUUUAUAGACCACCCCAAAAUACACGCUCCUUUUAACCGGUGGGCAGGAAUUGGAAUAGAAUCACGGAAACAGCUUGUCUCCUCAUUUUGAGGUGUUAGUCAGCUGAGAAGAUAAGCCUUGUGACUAGAGGGCAUCAAUAAAGCCCAGCAAGGGCAGGGGCCACGCAGACUCACUGUGACCACGCCACUUCAUCUGUUCACGCGCUCUGGUAAACACGUUAUAGAUACUAAUGUGCAGAGAGACACAGUGGCACACACUUUGGUCCCAGCGACUGGCAAGUAGGAGGGUCCCUCGAGACCAGGAGUUUGAGACCAGCCUGGGCUAUUGAUUGAAGGAAUUUCUUCUCUAAGAAACAAACGAAAUAAAACCACCACCGAGGAAUGAACUCUUCUCGUGUGGUGCCCUGUUGGUAAAGAUGUUGAAUGAGAGACAUGUCCGUGUAAAAUCUAAUGGCUCGCACAUGGACAGAAGUAUUAAAAAGUCGGCUGAGGCCAAAUAUGCACAGAAAGCAUGGGGAAAGGGGCUGGGGUAUGGCUCAGUGUCACUGACUACACAAGUGAGUUCAGAUCCCCGUCAUUCGUGUAGGGUGGACAUGGUGGCCCAUCAACAAUCCCAAGGCUCAGGACAGGAUGGGGUGGGGAUUCCUAGAAAAACCUGGAUAGUUAGACUAGUCAAAUCAGUGGAUUCUAGGUUCAAUCAGGAGACCCUAAUAUAUCAGUACCCAGCAAUGGACGAAGAUACUCCUCAACCUCUGUCUUCCCCUUGCAUGUGCAUACAGGUACCUGCACAUAUUUUAUGUAUACACACGGAGAUAUGCACACACACACACACACACACACACACACACACACACGCACACACACACAACCCAAACAUAAUACACAGACACAUACAAAACCGCAAAGCCAAAAGCCAAGGGCUGAGGAGAGGGCUGUGUGAGAGGCCAUGGGGUUAACCCAGCAGGCACCUCACCUCCUGUGAAGGUUAUUUCUCAGUCUCGGUUCUCCAUACUGAUGGGCUUUGAUCUCCAGUCCUUCGCUCUGGUCAUCAUUUAUGCAUGGUUCAUAGACAGGGGAGUCAGGAUGGACUUCUAAUCAAUUUUUACACCGGUGCAUCUCCUCUCUUUGAGGAAAAGCAUUGUUCCCAAAUGCUUUUUAUUUGCCUGUAGGUAGGGCUAGGAUUCUUUAGUGACCUUAAGGCAGGGGGCAAGAAGACUGAGGUAUCUGACAGACUGCACCCUACAGACAGAAAUACUGCUGCCAAGGGAUGGCCUCUAUCCUCCAGAGAUGGAGGGUCAGUGUUCUCAGAAAAAAUAAAACAGAGCGUAAACUCAAGGCUUCAGGAUAACUCGGAGGACAAAUGCAGCUGUGAACGCAGUUUGAAUCAGGGUCGUAAGUCUACCUGAAAUAUCACAGGUUUCUAUAUCUUUGCAAUUUCGUUUUUGUUACCUUGUUUUUUGGUCUGUUAUUUUGUCUUUUUGUUUUUUCCUGAGCUGAGGACCGAACCCAGGGCCUUGCGCUUGCUAGGCAAGCGCUCUACCACUGAGCUAAAUCCCCAACCCUGCAAUUUCUUUUUCGUGACUCGUGGUUCCUUAGCAUAAACUCCGUAGUUGACAAUCUCAUGUCUCAAGGUCAGAUGGUCGAGUGGACUCUUCUGUAGUGCACACGCGGAUCUGUUGUCCCUGGCUUUACUCCAUACCAAGUGUGCUUCUGAGCACACGUUUUUAGUAGGAGACAGAACUCAUAUGUCAUUAAUAUGUUUUUAGGGUUCCUCAAAUUUCCAAGACAGGAGCAAAAUGGAGCUUCCGGUCCUUCCACGCAAUUAGAUCUGUGUAGAGUGUGGCCUCCCAAGGGCCUCUCAGUUUUCCCUCUCUGUACUCUGAUCUUUAAACUUCCUUUAUCUGUCUGAUUUCUUUCACCACUUUCUAACUGCUGGACACCACACAGAUGGGCAACCUUGUUUUGGCCCCUUGAACACAAGGCUGGCUUGCUUUCUUUCUUCCUUCCUUCCUUCCUUCCUUCCUUCCUUCCUUCCUUUCUUUCUUUCUUUCUUUCCUCCUUCCUUUCUUUCUUUCUUUCUUUCUUUCUUUCUUUCUUUCUUUCUCUUUCUUCUUUCUUUCUUUCUCUCUUUCUUUCUUUUUCUUCUUCCUUCCUUCCUUUCUUCCUCCCUCCCUCAAUCCCCCCCUUCCUUUCUUUUUCCUUAGUUCAUGAAUGCAAUUGUCUACUCUAGAGCAGUCAUUUCAUUUGGGGCAGACCGUACAUUUAUUAUCUGCAAAAACUCUGGUCAUUUAUCCUGACUUUGCUUCUAAAUCAUGUUUCUAACUCAAUUUACUAUUAUUUUUAAAUGUUUAGGAUUUAUUUUUAUCACGCGUGUCUUCUCUUUGUAUGUGGUUGAGUGCGUGCACCUGAAUGCAGUGCCCAUGGUGUCCCCCUGGAGUGUUGGGUCCCCCUGGAGCUCCUCUUAAAGAGAAUAGUGCUUUUGGGCUUGGGUCCUGAGGAAGCAGUGUGUGCUCCUAACUGCAGAGCCUUCUCGUCAGCCCCCUGAGAGUUAUCAAAACAGAACAAGAGAAGAACAAAACCCCUCCACCUUUUCUAGAUAGUUUAUGGGUAGACCAUUGCAUAUACCUACACUUAUUAAGAUGUUGCUUAGGGAAAAGAUCCCUGGCAUAUGUAAACUCUGGUUUAACCAAGAAACAAAAUGUAUUUAGGAAUUUAGGAACCAUUUUCCACUAUACUGCAUAAAACGAUGGGAAAGUCAUCGUAACAGCACAUUUUCUCUUGCAAGGCAGCUUUUUUUUUUAUAUUAAAAGGCUGUGCUCAAUGGGAGCAUUGAGGUGCACGAUCCCAGUCCACCCUUUUCUGGAGGCUGAGGCAGUGGAUCACUUGGCCAAGAGUCCCAGACCCGCCAACCUAAGCAACUCAAAAAAGAGCCUCUCCCACCCAAGUAGCAGUUUGUGCUAAACUGCACUCCCAAAGCAAAGCCCAGACUAUUGUCUGCACGGCAUACAAGGCAAUCCUACUUAUCUGAGUCAUGCAAGCAAUAAACAGCAUAGUUCGGAAAACCAGCACUGACUCUCUCUGCCACUGGUUUCCCUCACUGGUAAAGAGAGCUCGCUCAGACUUUGCCGCACAGUAUGAGUCCUUGUAAAGUAAUGGUGGAACAUGUCAGCUCUCUGACCCUGAGCACAGGGCUGCUCAAACACCUGUGGAUUUAAGAGUUUCGAUGUCUCCAAGGGUCUGGGUGGGAGUUUAUUCAGAAACCUAGGAGCCCAAACGAAAUGGAUUUCUGCCAUGGACAGUCUGCUUCCUUCCCCAGUCCUGACAGUGCUUUCCACCCCAUGAAGAGUCUAAGACUUAAGAAUGAACUCUUUAAGGAAUUAAAUUUUACAACUUAAAGAGACACGCACACACACCGUGCAAUGUUGAUCAAUUGCUCUUUGAAUUUCACUCUUGAAAUGAGUUUUGCAACAGAGUGACAGAAGCUUUCACUCCCUCACCUUCUGCAAGGCUAAGCCAGGAGCCCUCAGCAGGUACUCAGCUGGUGAGGAAGAAGCUUUCCUUACAUGGGAGGUGCAUAACUUAAAAUGUGGAAUCCAGUAAGUGUAAAAAUACAUACCCUUUCUAAACGAUCGAGUAUAGCCACAAAUUUGUCCUGAUUAAAUCUGUCAAAAUUGCUCUCAUUUGAGGGUUUGAUUUAGUCUUUUCAAAACCGCAGAUACCUCAUUGUAGAGGGAGCCCAAGUCCAGGAGACUUUGAAACAAGCUUGUCUUAUUGUUAAACAUGCAUUGCCUAUCUCCCGGUGCCUAUUGAAGAUUUUGUGAAAGAAAACAUGUUUGAAAACGCCUUACUUAAGCUCAAACUUCAACGUGAAAGAUAACCUCCUCAACAGCUCUCUCACUUCUACAGUGUAAUCGAGCCUUGACUGUCAGCACGAGGAAAUGUGGGUGAGCUGUCUCUGGGCCUGGAUCAUUGUUUGUUCACAGGACGCUGAGCCUGUGUGAUAAUCACUCUUGAGAAACAGUAUCCCUGUGCAUCCUGGAGGCUCGGAUAUCGCUAUGAAUGGCCCUAACGUAGGAUUAGUCUAAGCACGGUCCUCUUGCUUAGCCUUGCCUUUCUCUCCCUUCCUUUCAUCCUUCACGCCUCCCCCCUCCCCCCUCCCUCCCUCCGUCCAUUGCUUUCCUUCUCUGUUUCUUGCCCUCUCUUCUUCUCUCUUCCUCUUUCUUUUCUUUUCUCGUGUGUCCCAGGCUAAGCAUUUUAAAUAAAACUAGAAUGACAUAAUAUACAUUUCUAUGUGCUCGUUGUAAAAUGCUUUCUAUAUAAUGACAGUAUAAUGUUUAAGUGUAACAUAUGUAUAUCUAUAUACAUGCAUAUAUAUAUAGAGAGAGAGAUUAUAAAUGUGAGGACUUAUAUGAUUUAGGAAUAGCGCAUAAAGUGAUAAUCUAUAGGAAAGAAUUAUUUAUAUCACAUAUUUACAUACAUCUAAUGCCUCUUGUGUUCCCAAAUAUGAAGUAAAGAUAUAUUCAUUUAACAUAUUGAUGAUUUACAUUUAUUAUUAAUUAAUUAAUUAAUUAAUUAAUUAAUUAAUUAACUCAGUCAUGGUGCUAGGGAUUAAACUCAUGGCUCUGCCCAUGCUGGGAAGUGCUCUGUCCCCGAGCUCACCCUUAUCUGUGUUUUAAUAUUUUUUAAAUUUUGAAUCAUCCUUGUAUAGUACAUAAACAGUAAUAGUAAUAAAGGCGUGAAGUGAAAAUGAAAGACCAGGCUUAGCUAACUCCUUCAGGCCAAGGUCAAGUUCACAGGCCUGUAUAGCAUUUGGCCUGUAUAGCAUUUGGCCUGUAUAGCAUUUGGCCUGUAUAGCAUUUGGCCUGUAUAGCAUUUGGCCUGCAUAGCAUUUGACCUGUAUAGCAUUUGGCCUGUAUAGCAUUUGACCUGUAUAGCAUUUGGCCUGUAUAGCAUUUGGCCUGUAUAGCAUUUACAGUUUGGCAUUUUGGUUUCGUUCUCGGAAUUUUGCACGUGAAGUGUGGUUUAUGUGGUUACCGUCCUCACUUUGCAAUAGUCUGGAUUCUAGGUUGGGGAUAAGAGGUCUAUAAGAGAAAUGUGCUUGGAUAAUAAAUAAAAUAUAUACAUUUUAAAGGACACAGUUUGUCACCGUGAUAAAUCUUUAAUUAGUGAAUUUUCAGGAAGAAAUAUAUGGUGACAUUUAAAAACCUCUAAAAAGAUUGCUGGGAAAUCUCUCUACGACUUAGCUAAAUCCUCAAGCCCUCCAGUCUACUCUCCACCAGAAUUCACCAGAAUCCUCUUCUAUUAACAGCUAAAUCAUUAGUCAGUACAGCCGCCGCCGGAGCAGAGCUAGCACAGUAAAAGACUGUGAAAUGACUAGUGGGCGGGGCUGUCAUGGCUGACUGCAGGUUGCCUGUCUGCUCUUCCCUAAGUGGCGAUUAGCGCUUGUGAACACAGUAGGUCUGCCACAGACCAUCACACGGUCAGGGAUGGCCUGAGGAGAUGUUGGCUUGAAAUUGGCUUGGAAAACAAAAACAAAAACAAACAAACAAACAAAAAAAACCCUGGGAGGUCAAUGCCUGUGAGAAGGAAGUGGAAGGAGAGAGGGCCGAGUCUUCAGGAAGACAUGGAGUCAGGAGCAGGGGGCCCAGGGAUGUCCUGGAUUAGAACCCUGAAGCAGCUGGGCGGAGUCUGCUGUUUGCCCAGAGUUUCCUCUUUAUAAACCAGCCCACGCGGUAAAUGGGGCCCAAAGUGGGUUAGGGAACACUGUAACCUCAUUUCACCUUAUUUAGCUGUGUGCCGGGGAUCUCAGCAGGUAGUUCAAUUAACUUCCACUAGUUAAAUGGGAUGAAAAUGAGGUUACCCAGAUUGACAAAACUCGACUCUGUUCCCCGUUUCAAAUCAGAAGGGGUUGUUCUCUGGGCCAGGGCUCUAGCUGGUGGGCCCCAAGGCAAUUGCUGUUCUGAACUGAACAGGAGAUUUGGAGCUCGCUCAGGGCCAGGGCUCCACCCUGCCGUCUCAGCUGAGACAGGAAAAUUACGUUGAACUGAUGGCCACUGUAUUAACAAGGACUCAUUACACAGGUCUUAUGUUUCUCUCUUCCUACAGGGCUGUAAGGCCGCGCUGGAGAAGAAAACCUCACGUGAUUUGAUUGCAGUGGUUUUCUUUUUUUUCUAAAGCCCGGAUUUUGUGAGAUUAUUUCCCUAUUGAUGGAGUUCUUGAGCUUAGAAAACUUAAUUAGCACCACUUAUUUCCAAAAUAAUGUUCCAGAAUCUGCUGUUAUUUUAAUAUAUUUAAAGGUACACUGGAUGGAAAUGGCUUUAAAAAAGAAUCAUUUAAUGAACAACUGUGGUUGGAGGUAGGCAAAGUUGGAAUUACAUUUCUUUCAUUUGUGUCUGCUUUCAGUUUUAGCAAGUGGCUGUAUGCGUAACGGCCACUUUUAACGGAUAAAGGAGUGACAUAAAUAGUGAAAUACGCAGAUGCUCGAAUUCUCUGGGAGCGCAGGGUUCCCCUCCAGCUCUUCAGGAUCUGGGGUGACAUCAACUUCGUGUUCCCAUAACCUCCCCUGACUUCUCCACGAUGAUUGAUUAUAAUGUGGAAUUCUGAGCUAAAAUAAACCCUUUCUCCCCUAACGUUCUUUGUCAAGGGUGUGUUAUCAGAGCGACAGGAAAUGGAACUUGGACAAGGUAUCAGACUGCAUUGUUCUCGAGAAGGAACGAAUUGGCCGGAUGGCUUUGUGGUUGUGUAGUAAAUGUGGAUAUUUCUCUUUUGUUUUCAUGGGGAUAGUGGGUAGCAAAGCCAGUGGUUUUUAAAAUCAUCACAUCUGGAGAGCGAUGUUCUUCCAUCGAGGGCAUAUAAAAAGGUGCACAUGUUCUCUCAUUAAACAAAAAGUCACUUUCCUUUCAUGGUUGUCUUUAUGUAUUUAAAAAGAAAAUAUUUCUGCUUGUAGUUUCUGUAGUCAGGAGGCUGGGGCAGGAAGGCCAUGAGUUUGAGGUUAGACCAGGCUACACAGUGAGACCAAGUCAGGAAAUAAAUCAAUCAAAUCCCAUCUGUGUUCUAUAGAGGGAAAUAGGCUCACGUGUCCUCUCCUCUCCUCUCCUCUCCUCUCCUCUCCUCUCCUCUCCUCUCCCCUCCCCACUGCCCAACUGAAAUUAGGAUUUCUUUCUUUUUUUUAAAGAUUUAUUUAUUUAUUAAGUAAGUAUACUGUAGCUGUCCUCAGACACACCAGAAGAGGGUAUCACAUCCCAUACAGAUGGUUGUGAGUCACCAUGUGGUUGCUGGGAUUUGAACUCAGGACCUCUGGAAGAGUAGUCAGUGGUCUUAACCACUGAGCCAUCUCUCCAGCUGAAGGUUACAGUUUCUACAUUGAGAUGCUGCUGUCUCAUAGAAGUCACGGAGACAACAAUGGACGAUGGUAUUUAACUGGCCGUUGGUGAUUUAUCUGCAGAUGUAUCUAAGCUCCCUCCCACUGUUACCUACGUGAGCAAUUUUCUUAUCUACUUUAUAGAAUGUUCAAGGGGGUUUGCCAGGACUUGCCUACUUCACAAAUGAUGACCCUAUUCUCUGUGUGGUGGGAAUCCUUCAGCUCGAAGAACCUGGUUCAUAACUCCAGUCCAGGGCCUGGUGCCUCCGGCAGCCGUGGGUCGUUGUCUGCAGACACCCCAGCGUGUGUUGGCCUUGUGCUGAGGAUCAGGACCUGGGCUGAGACCUACUUCUUUCAUACUUGAUGGGCUUUGCCUGGGAACUCUUUGAAAGUAUUCCGGGGGCUUGGAAUGAAUGAGAUGAUGCCUUUAAGUUGUAUGAGAUGAAGGCGUCGCAUGGCUCACUAAGAAUACAGUAGGAAAAGACGGCAGGUUUGGAUGCUGACUGUUCUUGCUUGAUUUAAACCGUUGCACACGCGGACAGAAGCAUGGCACUCUGCCUCUUAAAUUCAAGGAUUAUAUCAGUUAAAGUAAAAUAAUUUUCUUUAAAAGGAAGCAAUUUUAAUUUGUCUUAUUUAAUUCUUUGUCUCCAAAGUGUUGCUUAAACUCUGCCAAUAUUGGGAACAAAAACUAAGUCCAUGCAAGUAGGUGGCCUUCAAGAUAAGCUAAGAUAUUAUUUUGGAGGGGGUGAAUAUGAGCAAAGCACAAAAUUUAUAUGUAUGAAAAAUCAAAGUUAAAUGUAUAGGGAAACAGAAGAGCCCUGAGCUCAGAUACAAAGCUCACGGUGCAUUCUAUGUAACUGACAGGUAAGUGUAACAGAACAGAAAACUUCCAGUAGCAUCUGAUUUUCGUUUCAUUGAAAUGAGAAAAAAAAUACUUUAAAUAAAUGCAUGUGGAUGCAAGUAGUAUUUCUCUGACUCGCAUGGAUCACCAGUAAAUCAAUCAAUCAAUCAAUCAAUCAAUCAAUCAAUCAAGUAAAUCCAUGCUAAGAAGCAAUCUGCCCUAGCUCUGAACUACAGGAAGCAGUGGUGGCCACGGAAUCUUCCUCCCUGUGGGUAUUGACGAAGGGGAGUUUAAGCCCAGCUGCUAUCCGUGAUGACUACAAAUCCUAGCCAAUCAAGCCAGAAGGAGCAUUGGAGGUGUUCGCUUCCAACCACUUAGGGUUCAAACACCAACGGCUUGAAGUCCACAACUGCUCGCAUCCCGUUUUCCAAACAGAGACCUGGACGCAUGACGCAAGGGCCAGCACCAGUGCACUUAAGGAGCCACAAGUCUUCCUGAGCUCCAAGAACACGAAAGGGAGCCCAGUUCAAGCUGGAGGUGUCACGUGGUUCAAGCCAGCUGGGUGACAACCAGGGUGACAGAAUUGAGGUGCUAAUUAAAAGGAAUAGACAUUCCCACUGGAAGAGUGGUCAAGGGCAUCUGCAGAGUCGCUACAGCCCUGUGCGCACGGCCCAACCCACGCAGAACUGGGACCUGGGGUCUUCUAUCUCUGCCUCACCUCUAGCUUUCUCCCAUUACAGGCUUUGAUGGAGAUGGUACCUCUUCUUCCCUCUCGUGCUUAUUCAGUUCUGCCGAACAAUAAUCGUUAUGUGAUGUGAGAAGUGUGGAACAGAGACCCCUGGUGAAGUUCUGCGGUGUAUUUUGAUUUUUAACUUUUUAAUACAACAGAUCGAAGUGUCUGUUAAAAUAAAUAAACAAUACAAAAGAAAAACCCUUUAACCCACGGGUGGUUUUCUCUGGUUCUGGAAUACAAGGUAAGGUUGCUCCACUCAUGUCUACUAUGUUGAACUCUGGCUGAGUCACAUGGGAUGCUCCUGCAUCAGGGGCUGCGUGACGGUCUGCACAGAUGCUCCAAGGCCAUUUCGGCACAGGGAAGAAGUGGCUUUUCAAAACAGAGAGUGCGACAUGAUAAGAGUGCAGCCUGGUUGAUUAUAUAAAAAUGAACUCCCUGCUUCCUACAUAGAACAUCAUUUUAGCGGCCAUGCCUUUGUGGUUUUAGGACAUGUCACAUAUGAGCAAGGCCAUGACGGAGCGGGCACCGUGUUUCUGAAGAAGACCUACACUUGUUCCGCUUUGCAUGUGCAUAGCCUACGACGCUCUUGUAUACAAGUGUUAUGGAAGACUAUCCUGACUGUUUCCACGAGACUGCCCAAACGAAAGUCAAUCAUGUUUAGAAGACAUGCGAUUAGGCAGGUAGACACGGGUGGUUUUAGUCUAAUCCACGGGACUGACAAGUCUCCUUACAUGAAGACUCUAGAACAAGCAGGCAGAAGUCAGUCUAGAGGAAACUCUACAGUCAGUGGUAGAGGGAAACUCAAUCUUCUCUAGGGGCGAGCUUCCUAAGGUUAGCCAAUCCCCAGUGUUCAGCCGUAAACACAUAUGCAUACAAGCAACACCGAGGGGACUCGGUAGGUUGUAGGUGUAUGCACAUGUGUCUGUACAUCUAAGUAAUACUCAAAGAAGCAGUCACAAAUCUGAGAGAGGAGAGAGGAGAGACACAGGAGGGGUUGGGAAGAGAGUCAAGGAUGGAGAAGCUGUAAAUCCUGUUAGGAACCAUGCAAGAGGAAGAGCAACACAGCUUUAGAAUGGAUGGGUGGCCCACCGGUUAGGGCACACACAUGAUGGGUGUGACUCAGAGAGGCAGAGCCCCUGAGGACCACGUGUCCUGGGGCCUUCAUGCUGUUAUAGAGUUUUGUUCCUCUUGCUGCUCUCACGUCCUUCAUAACCUGGGGGCUGGGUGUAAAUUCUAAGGGGACUUCCCGCCCCUCACUGGGCAAUGUCAUUAGCCCGUACAAUAUUAGCGGUUGAUGCUUUUCAAGCGUUAUUGCUGAAGCAGAUUAAUGAUCCCUCUGCCACCCUCAGAAAGGACCUAAAGACGUUUGCAAUGACCCCCACCCUUAGAAAGAAUUUGGUGAUGCAGAUUGUUAGUAAAGUUAGGUUAAGAUGUUUUUGUUAGUGUCUCUGACGUAGAAAACCUUGGGGAACAAUAAAGGGUGACUCUCUUGCUAAAGCUGGGCUGCCGAUCAGGGGAUGAUUAAUUUCUUGUGCCCAUUUUUUUGUCCUCAGCUCCCUGAUAAUUUAAUAAAAAUAAUUGCUAAUGAGUAGAUGUGCACCCCGAGGAUUUCCAGUUGAAAUGACUGAUCCUUUUAUAUAAAGGUUUAGAUUUGUGACUCUCUUAAAAUUUUAAUAAGAUUACUUCUUAAGAUAAAUAAUAAAAUAAUCGAUCUUUUCUUUGUAGCUGCAAAUUGCUGCCUGUCAGUAAGAGGAACUGGCUGGGAAAAUUACCUUACGUGCUCACACACUUUGUUAAUCUAUAACAAGUUGCUUAGUUACAAAUGUGUGAGGGUUCUUGAGAGUAUUUUAUUUUGUCCAUAAUACGUUAAACAUUUGAUCAUGUGGGGGUAUUGGAGAACAUUUGAUCAUGUUGGGGUAUUGGGGAAUGUUUGAUCACGUGGGGGUAUUGGGGAACGUUUGAUCACAUGGGAGUAUUAGGGAAUGUUUGAUCAUGUGGGGGUAUUGGGGAACAUUUUUUCUUAUAUAUACUCAUUGUACUCACUCUCUGGAAUAAAAAUAGAAUGCAACCAUAUAAUUUUUGUACUGCAUGAUAUAUAAGCUGUGGUUGGAAAAAAAAUAAAACUGUUGGAGGAGUGUUCCA